GAAAUACUUUAAAGCAACUUGUUGAGGCCCUCUGUGUACUGGCCACUGGCCUCUGUGCUCUGCAGACAGAGAAAGUGGUAAGAUUAAGCUCUCGGCGUGUCCCCACCACUGCCAUCCCAGUGGUUGUCCUCUCCUGUCGUCGUGGGAUGGCUCAGCUGGGGACGAGAUGGCUGGGGCCGCUUGCGCUGUGUGACUCGUGACCCCAGGGACGCCUCUAUUCCUGCGUCUCGGGCCUGAGGCUGGAAGGAUGACCACAAGGACUCACGGACAUCAGAGGGCUCGGGGAACACCGGCAGGGCCGAUCGGCACGUCGCGCUGAUGAGGUCGAUGGAAUCAUCAUCCUUGCGGAGGGGAGGUGUGAAGAGGUGGGCUGUCCAAGUUGCCCAGCUGGCAAGUGACCGAACCGUGAUGCCAGCCCGGGCCACCCGAUGCCAGACUCAGAGCUCGGACAUGCCGCGUGGCUCCCAGGUGUGUGGACAGCAGACAGAAGUUCCACCAGGUGCUUUUGAACACAUGGUCUAAUAGUCAGGACAUCUCCAUAUCGCUGUUCUGUGAUCUGGCCAGUCCUAAACAUGACUGGAGAGCCCCCAUUCUUUCCCAUUUCAGCAGAGAGGGGAAAGACGCUAAAAUGGUGUGCCAGGAACUGGAAACAAGCUGUCAUGGGAGUCUAUUGUGCGAGUUCAAAGUUGGAAUGUCUUUUUUCCUUUUUUUUUUUUUUCCUCUUUUCGGAUUGGAAACUUUAUUAUGAUGAUGCACACAUGCUAGUGUGGUUAUGUGUUUCAUGGUGCAUGACCUCUCUUUAUCAAACACAUCUGAGAACCCGCUGUGCACCAGGUUCUGUGCUAAGUGCUCCAUGUGGGUUGCCGCUGAUCCUCAUUAUAACCUUUCAAGGUAAAUAUUUUCAUCACUAGAUGGAGAAAGCAAGGCUUAGAGAAAUCACAUUGUUAGUAAGUUAUAUGGCGUGAAUUUGAACCCCGCCCUGUCUUCUCCAAAGCCUGCCAGACCCCUUCCAUUAAGAGAAAGUUUGAAGAUACAGUAAUGGCGAAAGAGUACAUUAAACAGAAACUGAAGG